AUUUGUUGUUUAUUGUUGUGACUUAUUUUGACAUUGUUAUGUGUUGCCAGACCAUGGUUAUAUUUCAUUAUGCCAGUAGAUGGUGAUCUUGCACUGCUGUGGAACUACCAGAGAGACUCUAGCGAUAGGCUCUGCGCAUGCGCAGCUCAGAAAUAAAUGAGCUCCGGCCUGAGCAAGACGCUAACUUCGGUGUCCUCUCUAUUAAUCCACAGUUUGCUCAUACUUGGCUACGCAGUGCUCUCUAGCCUGUGUGCCGCUUGCUGCCGGUCCAGAUUCCCCUAGAUCUGGUGCAGGGGUGACCAAAUGUAUCUCUGCUCGAAUGCUGGGAUGUUUGCGAACACAACUGCUGUGAACAAACUGACAAAAAUUGCUGAUCCUCACCCCUAUUUAUGGAAAAAGAAGGAUCAAAGCUUCUAAGAUGUCUUUGUGACAUCAUCAUUCUGUAAGCCAAUGAGAUUCUCACAUGAAAUUUAUGAAUGAGAAUGUUUUUUUUUUAAACUGUUUUCAAAUUUAAUAUGUCAGUUUUUCUUAGGCUACAUUCAAUGAUGAUGCAGCCUUGACAUGAGGUUUGGCAGGUUGCUGGAAACAGUGAACACCUCAGACACGCAGCCUGCCAUGGACAGCAGAGAGAUGAUCAGAAGAACGGGUUUACAAUCA